UAUAAUACCGCAUACGUCCUACGGGAGAAAGCAGGGGACCUUCGGGCCUUGCGCUAAUAGAUGAGCCUAAGUCGGAUUAGCUAGUUGGUGGGGUAAAGGCCUACCAAGGCGACGAUCUGUAGCGGGUCUGAGAGGAUGAUCCGCCACACUGGGACUGAGACACGGCCCAGACUCCUACGGGAGGCAGCAGUGGGGAAUAUUGGACAAUGGGGGGAACCCUGAUCCAGCCAUGCCGCGUGUGUGAAGAAGGCCUUUUGGUUGUAAAGCACUUUAAGCGAGGAGGAGGCUACCGAGAUUAAUACUCUUGGAUAGUGGACGUUACUCGCAGAAUAAGCACCGGCUAACUCUGUGCCAGCAGCCGCGGUAAUACAGAGGGUGCAAGCGUUAAUCGGAUUUACUGGGCGUAAAGCGCGCGUAGGUGGCCAAUUAAGUCAAAUGUGAAAUCCCCGAGCUUAACUUGGGAAUUGCAUUCGAUACUGGUUGGCUAGAGUAUGGGAGAGGAUGGUAGAAUUCCCGGUGUAGCGGUGAAAUGCGUAGAGAUCUGGAGGAAU
rnacentral:rRNA from 1 species